CCGUUGUACACACCGCCCGUCAAGUCAUGAAAGUCGGUAACACCCGAAGCCAGUGGCCCAACCGCAAGGAGGGAGCUGUCGAAGGUGGGAUCGGUGAUUAGGACU
rnacentral:rRNA from 1 species